UGAGGAAUAUUGGGCAAUGCCCGCAAGGGUGACCCAGCAACGCCGCGUGGAGGAUGAAUGUCGUAAGAUUGUAAACUCCUGUUAGAGGGGAAGAAUAGUACCGGUUGGACCGGUAUAUGACUGUACCCUCAGAGAAAGCCCCGGCUAACUACGUGCCAGCAGCCGCGGUAAUACGUAGGGGGCAAGCGCCGUCCGGAUUUACUGGGUGUAAAGGGCGCGCAGGCGGGAUAAAAAGUCAGUGGUGAAAUCCUACAGCUUAACUGUAGAACUGCCUUUGAUACUUUUAUUCUUGAGUUCGGGAGAGAGAGACGGAAUUCCAGGUGUAGUGGUGAAAUACGUAGAUAUCUGGAAGAACACCAGUUCCGAAGGCGGUCUCUUGGUCCGACACUGACGCUGAGGCGCGAAAGCGUGGGGAGCAAACA
rnacentral:rRNA from 1 species